UACGUAGGGUGCAAGCGUUGUCCGGAAUUAUUGGGCGUAAAGAGCUCGUAGGUGGUUCGGUAAGUCGGAUGUGAAAUCUCCAGGCUCAACCUGGAGGGGUCAUUCGAUACUGCCGUGACUAGAGGUCGGUAGGGGAGUGUGGAAUUCCUGGUGGAGCGGUGAAAUGCGCAGAUAUCAGGAGGAACCCCCGUAGCGAAGGCGGCACUCUGGGCCGAUACUGACACUGAGGAGCGAAAGCGUGGGGAGCGAACAGG
rnacentral:rRNA from 1 species